rnacentral:lncRNA from 1 species
UGGUUUUGUACAUGAAAUACUUAGUUUUGGACAGAAAGCAGACAAUUUUAUGUACCCCUUUGUUCACAAGGCGUGCGGUGAGAUUUUGGCGAUAGAAAAUUGGGAGGAAGGUUUCAAUUCAUCGUAAGUUAUUUGCAAAACCGAGUUGCUCCGUCGUAGAGAUUAUUCAACUCGAGUAGGAGGUGCAUGCUCAGCUUUACCAAGUAAGGUUGUUGCUGCUCCGGAAAUCGGGGUUUCACUGCCCACUGCAGCAUGCUUCUAAUCUCACCUCGAUCACUGCCGUUUUAGAGUCGCGUCUGAAUCCAUCGAUGGAUUCCUUCCAGAUUUUUUCCUCUAUAUUUUUAGCCGUAAUUUAGACUUCAAAUUCAUUCUUGAUAAGACAUGAUGGAGAAAGAAAUCAAUGCCAAAAAGAGCAAGAGAAUAGAAGAAGAGAAGAAAAUAAAGAAAAAUACCUGAGACUGAGACGAUUGAGUUUUUGCGUGGUGGAUGGUGGAAGAAAGAG